rfam:Paenibacillus sp. HGF7 contig00095, whole genome shotgun sequence.
AACAAACGAAUAUAUAGACCGUAGACAGCAGGUGCCGAUGGGAACAUCCCAAACAGCUUAAUGUCCUGCCGAGGUGUUAUGAUAUAAGUUCGGGUUAUACCGGAAGUGUCAUGCCUUCGUAGAGUCUACGAAGGCAUUUCUUAUGCUUAG